rnacentral:rRNA from 1 species
UCUUUUCCUUGUGUGCCAGCCGCCGCGGUAAUACGUAGGCGGCAAGCGUUGUCCGGAAUUAUUGGGCGUAAAGGGAGCGCAGGCGGGAAACUAAGCGGAUCUUAAAAGUGCGGGGCUCAACCCCGUGAUGGGGUCCGAACUGGUUUUCUUGAGUGCAGGAGAGGAAAGCGGAAUUCCCAGUGUAGCGGUGAAAUGCGUAGAUAUUGGGAAGAACACCAGUGGCGAAGGCGGCUUUCUGGACUGUAACUGACGCUGAGGCUCGAAAGCUAGGGUAGCGAACGGG